rnacentral:tRNA from 1 species
CGCCACGUUGUCAUUCCUAAUGUAGCCAAGUGGAUCAAGGCAGUGGAUUGUGAAUCCACCAUGCGCGGGUUCAAUUCCCGUCGUUCGCCC